rnacentral:rRNA from 1 species
CGGUUGAUCCUGCCGGACCCCACCGCUAUCGGGGUAAGACUUAGACAUGCUAGUCGUACGCCUCCCAAGCCUGCUGGUUGGAGGCGUGGCGUACGGCUCAGUAACACGUAGUCAAUCUGUCCUCAGGACAGAAAUAACCCCGGGAAACUGGGGUUAAUGUCUGAUAAAUGAGGAAGCCUGGAAUGGUUCCUCAUUGAAAGGACGUCGAGGCCGUGCCCUCGACGUCGCCUGAGGAUGAGACUGCGGCCGAUCAGGUUGUUGGUGAGGUAACGGCUCACCAAACCUGUAACCGGUACGGGCCGUGAGAGCGGUAGCCCGGAGAUGGGCACUGAGACAAGGGCCCAGGCCCUACGGGGCGCAGCAGUCGCGAAAACUCUGCAAUACGCGAAAGCGUGACAGGGUUACCCCGAGUGCCGCUCGCAGAGAGUGGCUUUUCUCUGGUGUAAUGAGCCAAAGGAAUAAAGGGAGGGCAAGACUGGUGUCAGCCGCCGCGGUAACACCAGCUCCCUGAGUGGUGGGGAUGAUUAUUGGGCUUAAAGCGUCCGUAGCCGGCCUGAUUAGUCCCGCGUGAAAUCUGACGACUUAAUCGUCAGGCCGCGCGGGAUACUGUCAGGCUUGGGAGCGGGAGAAGCCGACGGUACUCCUGGGGUAGGGGUGAAAUCCAGUAAUCCCAGGGGGACCACCAGUGGCGAAGGCGGUCGGCUAGAACGCGUCCGACGGUGAGGGACGAAAGCUGGGGGAGCGAACCGGAUUAGAUACCCGGGUAGUCCCAGCUGUAAACGAUGCAGGCUGGCUGUUGGGGUGGCUACGAGCCACCCCAGUGGCGCAGGGAAACCGUUAAGCCUGCCGCCUGGGAAGUAAGGUCGCAAGACUGAAACUUAAAGGAAUUGGCGGGGGAGCAC